UCUGAUAUGGCAGAAAUAAUGCAAUAGAUUUAAGAUCUAUUUAUAAAAAAAUAUUUUUUUUUCAGAA
rnacentral:tRNA from 1 species